rnacentral:rRNA from 1 species
AAUAACUCUAGAGCUAAUACAUGCCUUGAUGCUCUGACCCUGUUGCGAGACAGGGGAUGGGUGCACUUAUUAGAUCAGAAGCCAACCAACUGCUCGCGCGUGUGCGGCUGUUGCAUGUGCACGUGCGUGCGUAUGUUGAGAGGAGUGUACUUCUGGUGACUCUGGAUAAUUGUUACAGAUCGCAGUCGGCCGUGAGUCGGCGACGGGUCCUUCAAAUGUCUGCCCUAUCAACUGUCGAUGGUAGGUGACCUGCCUACCAUGGUGAUAACGGGUAACGGGGAAUCAGGGUUCGAUUCCGGAGAGGGAGCCUGAGAAACGGCUACCACUUCCAAGGGAGGCAGCAGGCGCGCAAAUUACCCACUCCCGGCACGGGGAGGUGGUGACGAAAAAUACCGAUGCGGGACUCCCUAAAGAGGCUCCGUAAUCGGAAUGAGUGGACUCUAAAUCCUUUCACGAGGAUCAAUUGGAGGGCAAGUCUGGUGCCAGCAGCCGCGGUAACUCCAGCUCCAAUAGCGUAUAUUAAAGUUGCUGCAGUUAAAAAGCUCGUAGUUGGAUCUCGGUAGCAUUGUUGCCUGCUGGUAAUUGAGCGGCUGGUGUGUGGUCAAUGAUGCACGGUGUCUGCGGCAGGCGGACGUUGGGGUGGGCAGACAGGCAGGCGGACAGGCGACAGCACAUGGACUGCUGUUUUGCGGUGUGUGUGUGUGUGUGCGCAUGUGUGCGUGUUUGUGUGCCUGCCGUGGUGGCCGUGUGCACGCGGGUCGUCGUGUUGUCGUGACCAUGAAGAAGCACUGUCGUGUCAAGCUGGCAAGGCGAUGGUGUCACCUUGAAGCCAUGUCUGUGGUGUAACAGCCGCAGGUGUGGACGGGUGUUGGACGGUGCUCUGCACACGCUGUGGAGCCUGUCGGCUCGUCUGCAUGCCUUUGGAUGCCCUUGAAAAGGUGUUCGCGGGCGGAUGGCACGUUUACUUUGAACAAAUUUGAGUGCUCAAAUCAGGCCGAUGUUGCCUGAAAAGUUUUGCAUGGAAUAAUGGAAUAGGACUUCGGUUCUAUUUCGUUGGUUUUCGGAUCCGAAGUAAUGAUCAAAAGAGACAGGCGGGGACGUUUGUAUGGCUGCGCUAGAGGUGAAAUUCAUGGACCGUAGCCAGACAAACUAAAGCGAAAGCAUUCGUCAAGCAUGUUUUCAUUGGCCAUGAGCGAAAGUCAGAGGCUCGAAGACGAUCAGAUACCGUCCUAGUUCUGACCAUAAACGAUGCCAACUGACGAUCCGUGGUGGUAGUAAUGUUGCCUUCCCCACGGGCAGUCCCCGGGAAACCUUUAAGUGUUUGGGUUCCGGGGGAAGUAUGGUUGCAAAGCUGAAACUUAAAGGAAUUGACGGAAGGGCACCACCAGGAGUGGAGCCUGCGGCUUAAUUUGACUCAACACGGGAAAACUCACCCGGGCCGGACACUAUGAGGAUUGACAGAUUGAGAGCUCUUUCUUGAUUUGGUGGAUGGUGGUGCAUGGCCGUUCUUAGUUGGUGGAGCGAUUUGUCUGGUUAAUUCCGAUAACGAACGAGACUCCAGCCUGCUAAUUAGUGCAUUUGUCCACUGCACCUGCGAAGGCGACGCUGGAUGAUGCCACCUGCCACGGGUGGAUGGGUCCUGCUGCUGCCGCUGCUGCUGCUGCUGCUGCUGCUGCUGCUGCUGCUGCUGCCGCUUCUUCUGCUGUUUUUCGUCGCUGCUGCUGCUUCUUAUCAUUGUUCUUCUUGCUGUCGUCCUCCUCUUAUUCGUUCGUCGUUGAGGAUGUAAGGUAGUAGUGGUGGUGGUGGUGGUAGUAGUGGUGUUGGUGGGUGGUUGGGAGUAGUGGAGGCGGGUUGUCGUGCCUCGUCGUGUAGUAGUGGUGGUGGUGGUGGUGGUGGUGGUGGUGGUGGUGUUGCCAGGUUGCUCAGUGCUUGUGGUUGGUAAGUCUGGCGUUAGCCUCCGGGUGUGGCGCGAGUGCCUACUUCUUAGAGGGACAAGCGGGAGAAGCCGCACGAAAUAGAGCAAUAACAGGUCUGUGAUGCCCUUAGAUGUCCGGGGCCGCACGCGCGCUACAAUGACGGUGUCAACGAGUCAGACCUUCUGGCCCGAAAGGGUUGGGCAAACUGGUCAAUCACCGUCGUGACAGGGAUCGGGGCUUGGAAUUGUUCCCCGUGAACGAGGAAUUCCUAGUAAGCGCAAGUCAUAAGCUUGUGCUGAUUACGUCCCUGCCCUUUGUACACACCGCCCGUCGCUACUACCGAUUGAAUGGUUUAGUAAGGUCCUUGGAUUGGCGUC